GGGGGCUAGCGUUGCUCGGAAUCACUGGGGGUAAAGCGCACGUAGGCGGCUUUCUAAGUCAGGGGUGAAAUCCUGGAGCUCAACUCCAGAACUGCCUUUGAUACUGGGAAGCUCGAGUCCGGAAGAGGUGAGUGGAACUCCGAGUGUAGAGGUGAAAUUCGUAGAUAUUCGGAAGAACACCAGUGGCGAAGGCGGCUCACUGGUCCGAUACUGACGCUGAGGUGCGAAAGCGUGGGGAGCAAACAGG
rnacentral:rRNA from 1 species